rnacentral:sRNA from 1 species
GCUCAUCAGCGUCAUCAUAGGAUUGGGAGUGGCUUUGCUGCUGGUCCUUGUGAUUGUGACCAUGGCCUUCGUGUGUGUGCGGAAGAGCUACAACCGGAAGCUUCGAGCUAUGAAGGCUGCCAAGGAGGCCAGGAAGACGGCAGCGGGGGUGAUGCCCUCAGCCCCCACCAUCCCAGGGACUAACAUGUACAACACUGAGCGGUGAGCAGGGCUCAAAGGGUAGGUAAGAGGCCUGGUGGGGUGGCUGAGGGCCAGGUAACUUGACCAGGCUUUCUCUCCAGAGCCAACCCCAUGCUGAACCUCCCCAACAAAGACCUGGGCUUGGAGUACCUCUCUCCCUCCAGUGACUUGGACUCUGUCAGGUGAGCAGUGCCCCUCACAGCCAGGCUAGGUGGUGGUGGUGGUACAGGUAGUGACGGUGAUGGUGAUGAUGGUGGUGAUGGUGAUGAUGGUGAUGGUGGUGAUGGUGGUGGUGGUGGUGAUGAUGGUGGUGGUGGUGGUGACGGUGAUGGUAGCAAUAGUGAUGGUGGUGAUGAUGACAGUGAU